GAUGAACGCUAGCGAUAGGCUUAACACAUGCAAGUCGAGGGGCAGCAUGGUCUUAGCUUGCUAAGACUGAUGGCGACCGGCGCACGGGUGCGUAACGCGUAUGCAACUUGCCUCACAGAGGGGGAUAACCCGUCGAAAGACGGACUAAUACCGCGUACACUUGGGAUAGGGCAUCCUGACCCAAGGAAAUGAAAUUCGCUGUGAGAUAGGCAUGCGUCCCAUUAGCUAGUUGGUGAGGUAACGGCUCACCAAGGCGACGAUGGGUAGGGGAACUGAGAGGUUGAACCCCCACACUGGUACUGAGACACGGACCAGAAUCGUACGGGAGGCAGCAGUGAGGAAUAUUGGUCAAUGGGCGAGAGCCUGAACCAGCCAAGUCGCGUGAAGGAUGACUGUCUUAUGGAUUGUAAACUUCUUUUAUACGGGAAUAACAAGAGUCACGUGUGGCUCCCUGCAUGUACCGUAUGAAUAAGCAUCGGCUAACUCCGUG
rnacentral:rRNA from 1 species